rnacentral:rRNA from 1 species
CCCUUAGACGUUCUGGGCCGCACGCGCGCUACACUGACGAAGGCAACGAGCUUUCCUUUACCGAAAGGUACGGGUAAUCUUUUGAAACUUCGUCGUGCUGGGGAUAGAUCCUUGCAAUUUUUGAUCUUAAACGAGGAAUGCCUAGUAAGCGCAAGUCAUCAACUUGCGUUGAUUACGUCCCUGCCCUUUGUACACACCGUCCGUCGCUACUACCGAUUGAAUGGUUUAGUGAGGCCUUCGGAUCCGCGACUCGUUUGUGGAGAAGUUGGACAAACUCAGUCAUUUAGAGGAAGUAAAGGUCGUAACA